rnacentral:rRNA from 1 species
AUUGAACGCUGGCGGCAGGCUUAACACAUGCAAGUCGAACGAGGGGCGGACGGGUGAGUAAUGCUUGGGAAUCUGGCUGAUGGAGGGGGAUAACUACGGGAAACGGUAGCUAAUACCGCAUACCAUAGGAUGAGCCCAUGUGGGAUUAGGUAGUGGGUGAGGUAAAGGCUCACCAAGCCGACGAUCCCUAGCUGGUCUGAGAGGAUGACCAGCCACACUGGAACUGAGACACGGCCCAGACUCCUACGGGAGGCAGCAGUGGGGAAUAUUGCGCAAUGGGCGCAACCCUGAUGCAGCCAUGCCGCGUGAAUGAAGAAGGCCUUCGGGUUGUAAAGUUCUUUCAGUAGGGAGGCGUUACCUACAGAAGAAGCACCGGCUAACUCCGUGCCAGCAGCCGCGGUAAUAC